UCAUCAUCCAAGACAUACUCUCAGACUGGCUGUGUUUACUUAACAGGUUCUCUCAUCAUCCAAGACAUACUCUCAGGCUGGCUGUGUAUACUUAACACGUUCUCUCAUCAUCCAAGACAUAGUCUCAGACUGGCUGUGUAUACUUAACAGGUUCUCUCAUCAUCCAAGACAUACUCUCAGGCUGGCUGUGUAUACUUAACACGUUCUCUCAUCAUCCAAGACAUACUCUCAGACUGGCUGUGUAUACUUAACACGUUCUCUCAUCAUCCAAGACAUACUCUCAGACUGGCUGUGUAUACUUAACACGUUCUCUCAUCAUCCAAGACAUAGUCUCAGACUGGCUGUGUAUACUUAACAGGUUCUCUCAUCAUCCAAGACAUACUCUCAGACUGGCUGUGUUUACUUA